rnacentral:snRNA from 1 species
GUGCUCGCUUAAGCAGCACAUAUACUAAAAUUGGAACGAUACAGAGAAGAUUAGCAUGGCCUCUGUGUAAGAAUGAUGUGCAAAUUUGUGAAGUCUUCCGUGUGUAU